rnacentral:rRNA from 1 species
UUGGAGGGCAAGUCUGGUGCCAGCAGCCGCGGUAAUUCCAGCUCCAAUAGCGUAUAUUAAAGUUGCUGCAGUUAAAAAGCUCGUAGUUGAAUUUCGGGACCAAUAUGUCGGUCGUGCUUUUGUACGUACUGAUAUAAUUGGUUUCUCCCUUCUGAAGAACCUUGAUGUCAUUAAUUUGGUGUCUUGGGGAAUCAGGACUGUUACUUUGAAAAAAUUAGAGUGUUUAAAGCAGGCUCGCGCUUGAAUACAUUAGCAUGGAAUAAUGAAAUAGGACGUUUGAUUCUAUUUUGUUGGUUUCUAGGAUCGACGUAAUGAUUAAUAGGGAUAGUUGGGGGCAUUAGUAUUCAAUUGUCAGAGGUGAAAUUCUUGGAUUUAUUGAAGACNAACUACUGCGAAAGCAUUUGCCAAGGAUGUUUUCAUUAAUCAAGAACGAAAGUUAGGGGAUCGAAGACGAUCAGAUACCGUCGUAGUCUUAACCAUAAACUAUGCCGACUAGGGAUCGGAUGAUGUUAAUUUUAUAAUGACUCAUUCGGCGCCUUCGGGAAAC